UGAAAAGCAGCCGCGGCCGUGCCGGUUGCCCCGUGCCGGUUGGGUGGUAUCGGUUGGCCGGGGGGACGCGGGACAACGGUGCGGCCUUCACCCGGUGGCGGCGGUCGGGCUCGCCCAGCGCGGCCUGGGCUCUCAGCCUGAUAGGAGUGUUGCAGUGUGACUUUGCUGAUGAAUAAGACUUCUGGAUCCUGACAGCACAGGAUGGAACUUACUGACAAUGAGAAAUUUCCCAGACCGUCCUAUAUUGAUACUGUUGAACUGCCUCAAAGAAAAGGACCAGUGGAUGUGGAAGAUAUUAAAGCAAAUCUCUCUGCUGACUUUUCUUUGCUUUCUUCAAGCUCAGACCCAAGCCGGAGGAGCAGUUUGGAGCCUAAGGGACACAUACAAGUUUGCCUGCGUGUUAGGCCAUUUACACCGUUGGAAAGAGAAAAUGAAUUGCAGGGCUGCGUUUCACUUGAAGAUUCAACAAGUGUCAUACUGAAGCACCCCAAAACUUCUCUGAGUCGACUGAGUGAAAAAGCUGUUGGACAGAUGCAGAAGUUCACUUUUUCACGAGUGUUUGGACCUGAAACAACUCAAGAAGAAUUUUUUGAAGGUGCCAUGAAGCAACCAGUGCAAGAUUUCUUAGAUGGAUACAAUCGUCUUAUUUUUACAUAUGGCGUUACAAAUGCUGGGAAAACCUACACAUUCCAAGGU